ACGCUCACUUCAGCAACAUGUAUAAUAAGACUGAAACAAUAAAGAGAUUAGCACAGCCCCCAUGCAAGGAUGGCACAUAUAUCUGUGAAGCAUUUCAUAUCCAA
rnacentral:snRNA from 1 species